AGUGAGAAUCAUUGUAUUGUAUUGUUGUAGACUAGUCUAGGGAGGAUCAUUGUAUUGUUGUAGACUAGUCUAGAGAGGAUCAUUGUAUUGUAUUGUUGUAGACUAGUCUCGGAAGGAUCAUUGUAUUGUUGUAGACUAGUCUCGGGAGGAUCAUUGUAUUGUAUAAUUGUAGACUAGUCUAGAGGAUCAUUAUUGUUGUAGACUAGUAUAGGUAGGUUCAUUGUAUUGUAUUGUUGUAGACUAGUCUAGGGAGGAUCAUUGUAGACUAGUCUAGGGAGGAACAUUGUAUUGUAUUGUUGUAGACUAGUCUAGGGAGGAUCAUUGUAUUGUUGUAGACUAGUCUAGAGAGGAUUAUUGUAUUGUAUUGUUGUAGACUAGUCUCGGAAGGAUCAUUGUAUUGUUGUAGACUAGUCUCGGGAGGAUCAUUGUAUUGUAUAAUUGUAGACUAGUGUAGAGGAUCAUUAUUGUUGUAGACUAGUAUAGGGAGGUUCAUUGUAUUGUAUUGUUGUAGACUAGUCUAGGGAGGAUCAUUGUAGACUAGUCUAGGGAGGAACAUUGUAUUGUAUUGUUGUAGACUAGUCUAGGGAGGAUCAUUGUAUUGUUGUAGACUAGUCUAGAGAGGAUUAUUGUAUUGUUGUAGACUUGUCUAGGGAGGAUCAUUGUAGACUAGUCUAGGGAGGAUCAUUGUAUUGUAUUGUUGUAGACUAGUAUAGGGAGGAUCAUUGUAUUGUUGUAGACUAGUCUAGGGAGGAUCAUUGUAUUGUUGUAGACUAGUCUAGGGAGGAUCAUUGUAUUGUUGUAGACU
rnacentral:lncRNA from 1 species